AUCCACAGCCAUAUCACCCUGCAGCCCAAGAAAGGCUACUCACUGAAGCUAAGCAGGGCUGAGCCUAGUCAAUACCAGGAUGGGAGACCACUAGGGAACACUAGGUUGCUGUUGGAA
rfam:Danio rerio chromosome 15, GRCz11 reference primary assembly.